rnacentral:rRNA from 1 species
GGCAGCACGGACUUCGGUCUGGUGGCGAGUGGCGAACGGGUGAGUAAUGUAUCGGAACGUACCUUUCAGUGGGGGAUAACGUAGCGAAAGUUACGCUAAUACCGCAUAUUCUGUGAGCAGGAAAGCAGGGGAUCGCAAGACCUUGCGCUGAUUGAGCGGCCGAUAUCAGAUUAGCUAGUUGGUGAGGUAAAGGCUCACCAAGGCGACGAUCUGUAGCGGGUCUGAGAGGAUGAUCCGCCACACUGGAACUGAGACACGGUCCAGACUCCUACGGGAGGCAGCAGUGGGGAAUUUUGGACAAUGGGGGCAACCCUGAUCCAGCCAUGCCGCGUGAGUGAAGAAGGCCUUCGGGUUGUAAAGCUCUUUCGGCCGGGAAGAAAUCGCAUGGGCUAAUACCCUGUGCGGAUGACGGUACCGGCAUAAGAAGCACCGGCUAACUACGUG